UAAACUCAUUUCCAGAACGAUUUUUUAAAUUAUUUUUUCACCACUAAAACGCAUGAGACUUGUAGUUUUCAAAAAUGUUUUCAUUUUUGAUGAGACGCUUAAUGAAAGAGGUUUAAUCGCCGGCAAACGAAAACCCGCGAUUUCCCGUAAAUCCCGGGCUUGGCCCGUAUAGUCGAAUGUAUACAAAGAAAGUACCCAGGGAGUAAACUCAUUUCCUGAACGAUUUUUUAAAUUUUUUUUUCACCACUAAAACGCAUGAAACUUGUAGUUUUCAAAAAUGUUUUCAUUUUUGAUGGGACGCUUAAUGAAAGAGGUUUAAUCGCCGGCAAACGAAAACCCGCGAUUUCCGGUAAAUCUCGGGCUUGGCCCGUAUAGUCGAAUGUAUACAAAGAAAGUACCCUGUGAGUAAACUCAUUUCCAGAACGAUUUUUUAAAUUAUUUUUUCACCACUAAAACGCAUGAGACUUGUAGUUUUCAAAAAUGUUUUCAUUUUUGAUGAGACGCUUAAUGAAAGAGGUUUAAUCGCCGGCUAACGAAUACCCGCGAUUUCCCGUAAAUCCCGGGCUUGGCCCGUAUAGUUGAAUGUAUACAAAGAAAGUACCCAGGGAGUAAACUCAUUUCUCGAACGAUUUUUUAAAUUUUUUUUUCACCACUAAAACGCAUGAAACUUGUAAAAUGUUUUCAUUUUUGAUGGGACGUUUAAUGAAAGAGGUUUAAUCGCCGGCAAACGAAAACCCGCGAUUUCCCGUAAAUCCCGGGCUUGGCCCGUAUAGUCGAAUGUAUACAAAGAAAGUACCCAGGGAGUAAACUCAUUUCCUGAACGAUUUUUUAAAUUUUUUUUCACCACUAAAACGCAUGAAACUUGUAGUUUUCAAAAAUGUUUUCAUUUUUGAUGGGACGCUUAAUGAAAGAGGUUUAAUCGCCGGCAAACGAAAACCCGCGAUUUCCGGUAAAUCCCGGGCUUGGCCCGUAUAGUCGAAUGUAUACAAAGAAAGUACCCUGUGAGUAAACUCAUUUACAGAACGAUUUUUUAAAUUACUUUUUCACCACUAAAACACAUGAGACUUGUAGUUUUCAAAAAUGUUUUCAUUUUUGAUGAGACGCUUAAUGAAAGAGGUUUAAUCGCCGGCUAACAAAUACCCGCGAUUUCCCGUAAAUCCCGGGCUUGGCCCGUAUAGUUGAAUGUAUACAAAGAAAGUACCCAGGGAGUAAACUGAUUUCCUGAACGAUUUUUUAAAUUUUUUUUUCACCACUAAAACGCAUGAAACUUGUAGUUUUCAAAAAUGUUUUCAUUUUUGAUGAGACGCUUAAUGAAAGAGGUUUAAUCGCCGGCAAACGAAAACCCGCGAUUUCCCGUAAAUCCCGGGCUUGGCCCGUAUAGUCGAAUGUAUACAAAGAAAGUACCCUGUAAGUAAACUCAUUUCCAGAACGAUUUUUUAAAUUAUUUUUUCACCACUAAAACGCAUGAGACUUGUAGUUUUCAAAAAUGUUUUCAUUUUUGAUGAGACGCUUAAUGAAAGAGGUUUAAUCGCCGGCAAACGAAAACCCGCGAUUUCCCGUAAAUCCCGGGCUUGGCCCGUAUAGUCGAAUGUAUACAAAGAAAGUACCCAGGGAGUAAACUCAUUUCCUAAACGAUUUUUUAAAUUUUUUUUUCACCACUAAAACGCAUGAAACUUGUAGUUUUCAAAAAUGUUUUCAUUUUUGAUGGGACGCUUAAUGAAAGAGGUUUAAUCGCCGGCAAACGAAAACCCGCGAUUUCCGGUAAAUCCCGGGCUUGGCCCGUAUAGUCGAAUGUAUACAAAGAAAGUACCCUGUGAGUAAACUCAUUUACAGAACGAUUUUUUAAAUUAUUUUUUCACCACUAAAACACAUGAGACUUGUAGUUUUCAAAAAUGUUUUCAUUUUUGAUGAGACGCUUAAUGAAAGAGGUUUAAUCGCCGGCUAACAAAUACCCGCGAUUUCCCGUAAAUCCCGGGCUUGGCCCGUAUAGUUGAAUGUAUACAAAGAAAGUACCCAGGGAGUAAACUGAUUUCCUGAACGAUUUUUUAAAUUUUUUUUUCACCACUAAAACGCAUGAAACUUGUAGUUUUCAAAAAUGUUUUCAUUUUUGAUGAGACGCUUAAUGAAAGAGGUUUAAUCGCCGGCAAACGAAAACCCGCGAUUUCCCGUAAAUCCCGGGCUUGGCCCGUAUAGUCGAAUGUAUACAAAGAAAGUACCCUGUAAGUAAACUCAUUUCCAGAACGAUUUUUUAAAUUAUUUUUUCACCACUAAAACGCAUGAGACUUGUAGUUUUCAAAAAUGUUUUCAUUUUUGAUGAGACGCUUAAUGAAAGAGGUUUAAUCGCCGGCAAACGAAAACCCGCGAUUUCCCGUAAAUCCCGGGCUUGGCCCGUAUAGUCGAAUGUAUACAAAGAAAGUACCCAGGGAGUAAACUCAUUUCCUGAACGAUUUUUUAAAUUUUUUUUCACCACUAAAACGCAUGAAACUUGUAGUUUUCAAAAAUGUUUUCAUUUUUGAUGGGACGCUUAAUGAAAGAGGUUUAAUCGCCGGCAAACGAAAACCCGCGAUUUCCGGUAAAUCCCGGGCUUGGCCCGUAUAGUCGAAUGUAUACAAAGAAAGUACCCUGUGAGUAAACUCAUUUACAGAACGAUUUUUUAAAUUACUUUUUCACCACUAAAACACAUGAGACUUGUAGUUUUCAAAAAUGUUUUCAUUUUUGAUGAGACGCUUAAUGAAAGAGGUUUAAUCGCCGGCUAACAAAUACCCGCGAUUUCCCGUAAAUCCCGGGCUUGGCCCGUAUAGUUGAAUGUAUACAAAGAAAGUACCCAGGGAGUAAACUGAUUUCCUGAACGAUUUUUUAAAUUUUUUUUUCACCACUAAAACGCAUGAAACUUGUAGUUUUCAAAAAUGUUUUCAUUUUUGAUGAGACGCUUAAUGAAAGAGGUUUAAUCGCCGGCAAACGAAAACCCGCGAUUUCCCGUAAAUCCCGGGCUUGGCCCGUAUAGUCGAAUGUAUACAAAGAAAGUACCCUGUAAGUAAACUCAUUUCCAGAACGAUUUUUUAAAUUAUUUUUUCACCACUAAAACGCAUGAGACUUGUAGUUUUCAAAAAUGUUUUCAUUUUUGAUGAGACGCUUAAUGAAAGAGGUUUAAUCGCCGGCAAACGAAAACCCGCGAUUUCCCGUAAAUCCCGGGCUUGGCCCGUAUAGUCGAAUGUAUACAAAGAAAGUACCCAGGGAGUAAACUCAUUUCCUAAACGAUUUUUUAAAUUUUUUUUUCACCACUAAAACGCAUGAAACUUGUAGUUUUCAAAAAUGUUUUCAUUUUUGAUGGGACGCUUAAUGAAAGAGGUUUAAUCGCCGGCAAACGAAAACCCGCGAUUUCCGGUAAAUCUCGGGCUUGGCCCGUAUAGUCGAAUGUAUACAAAGAAAGUACCCUGUGAGUAAACUCAUUUCCAGAACGAUUUUUUAAAUUAUUUUUUCACCACUAAAACGCAUGAGACUUGUAGUUUUCAAAAAUGUUUUCAUUUUUGAUGAGACGCUUAAUGAAAGAGGUUUAAUCGCCGGCUAACGAAUACCCGCGAUUUCCCGUAAAUCCCGGGCUUGGCCCGUAUAGUUGAAUGUAUACAAAGAAAGUACCCAGGGAGUAAACUCAUUUCUCGAACGAUUUUUUAAAUUUUUUUUUCACCACUAAAACGCAUGAAACUUGUAAAAUGUUUUCAUUUUUGAUGGGACGUUUAAUGAAAGAGGUUUAAUCGCCGGCAAACGAAAACCCGCGAUUUCCGGUAAAUCCCGGGCUUGGCCCGUAUAGUCGAAUGUAUACAAAGAAAGUACCCUGUGAGUAAACUCAUUUACAGAACGAUUUUUUAAAUUAUUUUUUCACCACUAAAACACAUGAGACUUGUAGUUUUCAAAAAUGUUUUCAUUUUUGAUGAGACGCUUAAUGAAAGAGGUUUAAUCGCCGGCUAACGAAUACCCGCGAUUUCCCGUAAAUCCCGGGCUUGGCCCGUAUAGUUGAAUGUAUACAAAGAAAGUACCCAGGGAGUAAACUCAUUUCUCGAACGAUUUUUUAAAUUUUUUUUUCACCACUAAAACGCAUGAAACUUGUAAAAUGUUUUCAUUUUUGAUGGGACGUUUAAUGAAAGAGGUUUAAUCGCCGGCAAACGAAAACCCGCGAUUUCCCGUAAAUCCCGGGCUUGGCCCGUAUAGUCGAAUGUAUACAAAGAAAGUACCCAGGGAGUAAACUCAUUUCCUGAACGAUUUUUUAAAUUUUUUUUUCACCACUAAAACGCAUGAAACUUGUAGUUUUCAAAAAUGUUUUCAUUUUUG